AUGUGUGGGGGUUUAGGGAUUCAAACCAGGGGUAGGAGCACUUUUCCUUCCAUGACCCUUCCCGAGUCAGUUUGGGGAUGGCAGUCGACCUGGUUCUACUGCAAAGACGUCAUGACUCCUGGUCAGUCGAGCGGUCUCCCCCCUUUCACUAUGGAGCGACUCCGCCAACCUUCUUCAUUGACCGUGACUCCAGAGGAAAAAGGAGAGGUGUCUAUUUUAGUCGACCAGGUCGUCAACUUAGUUCGGGAGGGUGUGACUGGAAUGGACCUGCUGGAGGUGUUUCUCAGUCGACGCAUCCAGCCUCUCCAAGCCCGUGACCACCCGAUGUGGAUGUACUCGGGCACCGACGACACCGCUCGGGUCCACCCAGAGGAGGUCGCCAAGGAGACAGUGGCUCAGUGGCUGCGAAGCAUAACCGGGAACAAGGAUAACCCCAGGGGGUCCAGGAGGGUUCUGCCAUUUGAUGCUGAGCACGAGCCGGAAGAGCAAAAUACCGAGUGUUUUUCUCUUUGA
rnacentral:rRNA from 1 species